GACGAACGCUGGCGGCGUGCUUAACACAUGCAAGUCGAACGGAAAGGCCCUGCUUUUGUGGGGUGCUCGAGUGGCGAACGGGUGAGUAACACGUGAGUAACCUGCCCUUGACUUUGGGAUAACUUCAGGAAACUGGGGCUAAUACCGGAUAGGAGCUCCUGCUGCAUGGUGGGGGUUGGAAAGUUUCGGCGGUUGGGGAUGGACUCGCGGCUUAUCAGCUUGUUGGUGGGGUAGUGGCUUACCAAGGCUUUGACGGGUAGCCGGCCUGAGAGGGUGACCGGCCACAUUGGGACUAAGAUACGGCCCAGACUCCUACGGGAGGCAGCAGUGGGGAAUAUUGCACAAUGGGCGGAAGCAUGAUGCAGAAACGCCGCGUGCGGGAUGACGGCCUUCGGGUUGUAAACCGCUUUCGCCUGUGACGAAGCGUGAGUGACGGUAAUGGGUAAAGAAGCACCGGCUAACUACGUG
rnacentral:rRNA from 1 species